rnacentral:rRNA from 1 species
UGUGUAGGCGGUCGUAUUAGUCUUUCGUAAAAGCUCUCGGGCUUAACCCGGGAAGUGCGGAGGAAACGGUACGACUUCGAGGACGCGAGAGGUAGAGGGAACUCAUGGUGUGGGGGUGAAAUCCGUUGAUAUCAUGGGGAACACCAAAUGCGAAGGCACUCUACUGGCGCGCUCCUGACGCUGAAACACGAAAGCGUGGGAAUCGAAGG